rnacentral:tRNA from 1 species
CGCAAGCUUUACUGCCUUUGGUACGGGCACGAUGCUUCUUCUUUGGGCAUGCUUUUGAAAUCAACGCGCGUUACCCU